UGCCAGCCGCCGCUGUAAUACGGAAUGUGUGAUCGUUAAUCGGAAUUACUGGGCGUAAAGCGCACGUAGGUGGCUUGGUAAGUCGGAUGUGAAAGCCCUGGGCUCAACCCCGGAAGUGCAUUGGAAACUGGCGAACUUGAGUACGGGAGAGGAAAGUGGAAUUCCGAGUGUAGGGGUGAAAUCCGUAGAUAUUCGGAGGAACACCAGUGGCGAAGGCGGCUUUCUGGACCGAUACUGAUGCUGAGACGCGAAAGCGUGGGGAGCAAACAGGAUUAGAUA
rnacentral:rRNA from 1 species